GGGGGCUUGGUGUAGUGGUAGCAUUGGAGCUUCGGGAGCUUCAGACAGCGGUUCAAUUCCGCUAGUCCUCA
rnacentral:tRNA from 1 species